rnacentral:rRNA from 1 species
UAUUAUUAUGAAGCUUAACAUUGUAAGUAAAUAUUAAUUAUAAAAGCAAAAAAUUAUGGCGGUAUCUUAAGCUUUUCAGAGGAAUUUGCUCUUUAAUGGAUAAAACACCUAAACCUUACUUUGAUUAGUUAAAUCAAUUUGUAUACCACUAUGAAAAUAAUAAUAUACAAUUAUUAUUAAAAUAUAAUAUAUAUUUAUAAAAAAUUAAGUCAAGGUGCAGUAAAAAUCAAAGAAUGAAGUGAAUUACAUUUCUUUUUAGAAAAAAACAUGAAAUUAAAUUUAGGAUUUGAAAGUAAGAUUAAAAUAGUAUGUUAAUUUGAACUAAGCUCUAAGAUAUGUAC